UGGGGAAUAUUGCACAAUGGGCGCAAGCCUGAUGCAGCCAUGCCGCGUGUAUGAAGAAGGCCUUCGGGUUGUAAAGUACUUUCAGUCGGGAGGAAGGUGGUAAGGUUAAUAACCUUAUCAAUUGACGUUACCGACAGAAGAAGCACCGGCUAACUCCGUGCCAGCAGCCGCGGUAAUACGGAGGGUGCAAGCGUUAAUCGGAAUUACUGGGCGUAAAGCGCACGCAGGCGGUCUGUCAAGUCGGAUGUGAAAUCCCCGGGCUCAACCUGGGAACUGCAUUCGAAACUGGCAGGCUAGAGUCUUGUAGAGGGGGGUAGAAUUCCAGGUGUAGCGAUGAAAUGCGUAGAGAUCUGGAGGAUUACCGGUGGCGAAGGCGGCCCCCUGGACAAAGACUGACGCUCAGGUGCGAAAGCGUGGGGAGCAAACAGG
rnacentral:rRNA from 1 species